rnacentral:sRNA from 1 species
AAGUUCAAGUGAUUCUCUUGCCUCAAUCUCCUGAGUAGCUGGGACUACAAGCGCGCUUUACCAUGCUUGGCCAAUUUUUGUAUUUUUAGUAGAGAUGGGGUUUUGCCAUGUUGGCCAGGCUGUUCUCGAGCUCCUGACCUUACGUGAUCCACCCGCCUCAGCCUCCCAAAGUGCUGGGAUUACAAGCAUGAGCCACUGCACCCAGCUGCUUUUUUAAUAUACCAGAAAGAAUAGAGAGCUAUUUAUAAGAGAAACCCUGAUAGAUUGGUGUGAUGAAAAGGAACUUAAUUUGAUAUUAACAACUGGAGGAACAGGAUUUGCACCACGAGAUGUCACUCCAGAGGCCACAAAAGAAGUAAUAGAACGGGAAGCACCAGGGAUGGCCCUGGCAAUGCUGAUGGGAUCACUUAAUGUUACACCUCUGGGCAUGCUCUCUAGGCCUGUAUGUGGAAUCAGAGGGAAAACGCUCAUAAUUAACCUGCCAGGUAGCAAGAAAGGAUCUCAGGAAUGCUUUCAAUUCAUACUGCCAGCUCUACCUCAUGCCAUUGACCUUUUACGUGAUGCCAUUGUAAAAGUAAAGGAGGUGCAUGAUGAACUUGAAGAUUUGCCUUCCCCACCACCCCCUCUUUCCCCUCCUCCUACUACCAGCCCCCAUAAACAGACAGAAGACAAAGGGGUUCAAUGUGAGGAAGAGGAAGAAGAGAAGAAAGACAGUGGUGUUGCUUCAACAGAAGAUAGUUCCUCAUCACAUAUAACUGCAGCAGCCAUUGCUGCCAAGAAGCAUCCAUUCUACACCAGUCCUGCUGUUGUCAUGGCACACGGUGAACAGCCCAUCCCUGGUCUCAUCAAUUAUUCCCAUCAUUCAACAGAUGAACGGAUUCCAGACUCCAUCAUUUCUCGUGGUGUUCAGGUGCUCCCACGAGACACAGCCUCCCUCAGCACUACUCCUUCAGAAUCGCCUCGUGCUCAGGCUACAUCUCGCCUCUCUACGGCUUCCUGCCCAACACCAAAAGUCCAGUCCAGGUGCAGCAGCAAGGAGAACAUUCUCAGAGCCAGUCACAGUGCUGUCGAUAUCACCAAGGUGGCUAGAAGACAUCGCAUGUCUCCUUUUCCUCUGACAUCUAUGGACAAAGCCUUUAUCACAGUCCUGGAGAUGACUCCGGUGCUUGGGACAGAAAUCAUCAAUUACCGAGAUGGAAUGGGGCGAGUCCUUGCUCAAGAUGUAUAUGCAAAAGACAAUUUACCCCCCUUCCCAGCAUCAGUAAAAGAUGGCUAUGCUGUCCGAGCUGCUGAUGGCCCAGGAGAUCGUUUCAUCAUUGGGGAAUCCCAAGCUGGUGAACAGCCAACUCAGACAGUAAUGCCAGGACAAGUCAUGCGGGUUACAACAGGUGCUCCAAUACCCUGCGGUGCUGAUGCAGUAGUACAAGUGGAAGAUACCGAACUUAUCAGGGAAUCAGAUGAUGGCACUGAAGAACUUGAAGUGCGAAUUCUGGUGCAAGCUCGGCCAGGCCAAGAUAUCAGACCCAUCGGCCAUGACAUUAAAAGAGGGGAAUGUGUUUUGGCCAAAGGAACCCACAUGGGCCCCUCAGAGAUUGGUCUUCUGGCAACUGUAGGUGUCACAGAGGUUGAAGUUAAUAAGUUUCCAGUGGUUGCAGUCAUGUCAACAGGGAAUGAGCUGCUAAAUCCUGAAGAUGACCUCUUACCAGGGAAGAUUCGAGACAGCAAUCGUUCAACUCUUCUAGCAACAAUUCAGGAACAUGGUUACCCCACAAUCAACUUGGGUAUUGUAGGAGACAACCCAGAUGACUUACUCAAUGCCUUGAAUGAGGGUAUCAGUCGUGCUGAUGUCAUCAUCACAUCAGGGGGUGUAUCCAUGGGGGAAAAGGACUAUCUCAAGCAGGUGCUGGACAUUGAUCUUCAUGCUCAGAUCCAUUUUGGCAGGGUUUUUAUGAAACCAGGCUUGCCAACAACAUUUGCAACUUUGGAUAUUGAUGGUGUAAGAAAAAUAAUCUUUGCACUACCUGGGAAUCCUGUAUCGGCUGUGGUCACCUGCAAUCUCUUUGUUGUGCCUGCACUGAGGAAAAUGCAGGGCAUCUUGGAUCCUCGGCCAACCAUCAUCAAAGCAAGGUUAUCAUGUGAUGUAAAACUUGAUCCUCGUCCAGAAUACCAUCGGUGUAUACUAACUUGGCAUCACCAAGAACCACUACCUUGGGCACAGAGUACAGGUAAUCAAAUGAGCAGCCGUCUGAUGAGCAUGCGCAGUGCCAAUGGAUUGUUGAUGCUACCUCCAAAGACAGAACAGUACGUGGAGCUCCACAAAGGCGAGGUGGUGGAUGUCAUGGUCAUUGGACGGCUAUGAUGGUCACCAGCAGGAGAAAGCUUUGAUGCAUGUCCACAUAUCAUUGACUGUAUCCUGUAAUAUGCAACGGCACAGCUAGUUUUCCCGAUUUGGAUAAAAGUUGAUCUGUAUAGUCAACAUCUUGAACUAUAUUUCAAAUGAAUUUAAAUAUCUUUU